rnacentral:rRNA from 1 species
CCCUUAGAUGUUCUGGGCCGCACGCGUGCUACACUGAGUGGAUCAGCGGGUCAGGUUGCGCGAAAGCGUUUCCUAAUCUUUAAAUCCGCUCGUGAUGGGGAUUGACGGUUGCAAUUUUCUGUCAUGAACGAGGAAUACCUUGUAAGCGCGGGUCAUCAUCCCGCGCUGAAUACGUCCCUGCCCUUUGUACACACCGCCCGUCGCUCCUACCGAUUGAGUGGUCCGGAGAGGCUUUGGGAUCUGAGCGGAAAGAGCGUUUCGCUGUUUCUGCUCGGAAAACUCAGUCGAACCUUAUCAUUUAGAGGAAGGAGAAGUCGUAACA